rnacentral:rRNA from 1 species
ACGGGAGGCAGCAGUGGGGAAUAUUGCACAAUGGGGGAAACCCUGAUGCAGCGACGCCGCGUGAGUGAAGAAGUAUUUCGGUAUGUAAAGCUCUAUCAGCAAGGAAGAAAAUGACGGUACUUGACUAAGAAGCCCCGGCUAACUACGUGCCAGCAGCCGCGGUAAUACGUAGGGGGCAAGCGUUAUCCGGAUUUACUGGGUGUAAGGGGAGCGUAGACGGCGAUGCAAGUCUGAUGUGAAAGCCCGGGGCUCAACCCCGGGACUGCAUUGGAAACUGUAUAGCUAGAGUGCAGGAGAGGUAAGCGGAAUUCCUAGUGUAGCGGUGAAAUGCGUAGAUAUUAGGAGGAACACCGGCGGCGAAGGCGGCUUACUGGACUGUAACUGACGUUGAGGCUCGAAAGCGUGGGGAGCAAACAGGAUUAGAUACCCUGGUA